UACGUAGGGUGCGAGCGUUGUCCGGAAUUAUUGGGCGUAAAGAGCUCGUAGGCGGUGUGUCACGUCGGCUGUGAAAACCUGCAGCUUAACUGUGGGCGUGCGGUCGAUACGGGCAUCACUGGAGUUCGGCAGGGGAGACUGGAAUUCCUGGUGUAGCGGUGAAAUGCGCAGAUAUCAGGAGGAACACCGGUGGCGAAGGCGGGUCUCUGGGCCGGCACUGACGCUGAGGAGCGAAAGCGUGGGUAGCAAACAGG
rnacentral:rRNA from 1 species